rnacentral:rRNA from 1 species
UACGUAGGCAGCAAGCGUUGUUCGGAGUUACUGGGCGUAAAGAGCGUGUAGGCGGCCAUACAGGUCAGCUGUGAAAACUCGAGGCUCAACCUCGAGACGUCGGUUGAAACCGUAUGGCUAGAGUCCGGAAGAGGAGAGUGGAAUUCCCGGUGUAGCGGUGAAAUGCGCAGAUAUCGGGAAGAACACCCGUGGCGAAGGCGGCUCUCUGGGACGGUACUGACGCUGAGACGCGAAAGCGUGGGGAGCGAACAGG